AGAUCUUCCGGGGGUGGAAUCUGGAAAUCUCCAUUUUUAGCAAGCUCCCUGGAGGAUGACCUUAGCCACAUGAAAGCUCUUGCAGCCGUGGUGGAAAGGAUCAUCCACGGUGACUUGCAGCUGUGAGUCCAUGAGUCUAGUACACUCUCUCAGGCCUUGAGCGGGGAAGGAAUCAGGGCUUACUGAGCCACCCCCAUCUUCCAGGCACUGUGCUAAGUCCUUUCCAUACCUCAUUUCAUUUCAUCCUCGCAAUAAACCAGGUACUGUUAUUACCACCGUGAAACAGGUGGGGAAACUGAAGCAUGAGGAGCUUGAGUAAUGUGUGUUAGAUCACGCAACCAGUAGUGGCAGAGCUGGAAUUCCGACCUGGGACUGCCUCCAAAGUUCUUGCGUAAGAAUACAGCUGCUACACUUGCCCUUCUUCAGCUGAGACCAAGGAGGGAAUUCUGAUUGAAAGCAAACCAGGGAGGAAAGAUGCACUAGCACUGACCUGUAACAGGUCAAUCUGUGCCAUGGCAUGGCGAGACGAAGUGGAGAACCCAUGUCUCAUUGGAAUCCCGGAUCAUCGUCUCCACGAAGGCUGUCUUCUGCAGCACUCCAGGGACUCACGGCUCUGGGCUUAUUGCUCAGUGUCAUGUGACAGAUGUUUUAGUGUUUAGUUGGAACCCUGGAUCUGCAGCAACCAUCUUGCUACCAACUUGAGGGUGAAGCCAGCCGUAAGAAUAGCAGGCCGGAAAGAUGGAAGAAACCUGGCUUUCCAAUGUCAUCAUUUGGUUGCUGAAUCAAUUGUACCUAAAGCUCACUCUAUCUGUUUUACCUUGAGUUAGGGUUGCCGUUGCUUGCAGCUAAACGCAUCUUCUUUUUUUUUUUUUUUUUUUUUUUUUUUGAGAAGGAGUCUUACUCUAUCACCCAGGUUGGAGUGCAGUGGCGCGAUCUCAACUCACUGCAACCUCCACCUCCCAGGUUCAAGUGAUUCUUGUGCCUCAGCCUCCCACGUAGCUAGGAUUACAGGCGUGAGCCACCACGCCCGGCUUAUUUUUGUAUUUUUGGUAGAGAAGGGGUUUCGCCAUGUUGCCCAGGCUGGUCUUUAACUUCUGGACCUUAGGUGAUCCACCCGCCUCAGCCUCCCAAAGUGCUGGAAUUACUGGCAAGAUCCACCACACCCAGUCUAAAUGCAUCUGAAUAUAACAUGACUCUCCUAGAGAAAAACCUGGAACCCAGAGCACCUGAAUAGAAACUCUUAAUUAUAUCAAUGAGGAAUAGUUAACUUAGCCAAGUUUCCAUUGAAUAUGAAGAACUGUAAAAUAAUGUCAGUUCUAGCCAAGAACUGAAAAGUAAUGUCAGUACUCUAUAAUGUGUAAUUCAUAGUUGCUACAUGUAAUCAGGCUUGGCCAAUUGUUUCCAGGAAGAUGGCACCCUCAUUUCUGAAUGAGGAUGACCAUUUUCCACUAAUCCAGAGGUAAAACAGUCAUUGUAACUGCACUGAAAUUUGCUGUAUCAAGUGAGACAUGAAGGUAAAUGUCAUUGGCCCAGAGUAAUUAGUCUUUUCCAGUGCUUAAAGGAAGGGAGAGAAACUAAUGCCUAUUGAGUGCCUUCAAAGCUUCUGCAAUGUGCUGGUACCCACAUGUUUCCAAUUAUUCCUCACAACACUAUGGAGAGGUUAUUUUGCCUGUUUUGCUGAUCAGGGAACUGAGACUCACAGAGUGACACCAACCCAUCAGUAUUUCAGGUUUCUGGGGAGGGUCCAGAGAGCAAGGGGGAAGCUGCUAAUUGCUUGUUGGUUCAAGAGAAAUGUUAUCUCAGUAGACUAACGUAUGGACUUUCUGAUGUCAGAAAAUGCAAACUAUGUAGUGUAACCUGUUUGCCAUUUUUUCUUUGUAUCCGCAAACUGACAGCAAAAUAUAUUGCACAAGUAUUAUAAAUCUGUUCAGUUCAAGUGCCAGAGAACAUUUACUCUGCUUCCUUCAUGAGCACCCCCUCUCUCAGCACCAGGGAGCUCCUCCAGGAGCACUUCCUCCCAUGUCUGUGUUCGCCGUUAAGACUGGACACACCAGGAUGAUCUUUCAACUUUGGGUCCAAAGGCCCUCAGUGGAUGUAAAAUAGGUACAUGAGGCCUUGAACUGAACAUUUUUUUCACUUCACCAUAACCUGGAUUUUCCCAGUUUAGGAGCAUCUGUUUGUCUUGAUAACGUUUGGAACAAAGUGAAAAAAACUGGACUUUGAAGAGAACUUCAGGUGAAUUACACAUUUAAGUCAGAUUUUCCAUGUCUUUGUCCCAUGUUCAGUAAUUCAAGCUGUUAGGAGCCCUCAACUUUGUACAUAUAUUUCCUUCCUAUCUCUGCCUCUUCAUACCUGGUACUUACCGUGGAAUUUGAAAUCUUUCUGUGGCUGUAAGCAAGAAAGGCGGGAAAAAUACAAGAAGUUAAAGGGGAUUGGAUGGUUCAGAUUUGGUUGAUGAAUGAGAUGGUUUAGAGGCAUGUCUUGUAAGAGAUAAUUUUCUAUGUGCCAGGUACUAUUUAUGAAUCCCACAUUAUCUUAUUAAUGCUCACAACAAGCCUUGGGGGUAAAUAGAUUAUCAUCGCCAUUUCACAGAUUAGGAAAGUGAGGUUUCAGCAGUCAAUUGCUCAAAGGUCUCCUGCUAGUGAAACAGUCGUCUAUCCAAACAGUCUGAAUGACCUGUGCACAUGGGAACGUGCCACGCAAGCCAAGGGCAGGAAGGAUGAGAAGAGGUGGGCAGAAAGCCAGCUGGGAUGAAUGAAGGACCUACUACGUGCAGGCCCAGGGUCAGACAUUUUAUUUUCUUGAUUGCACUUCAGCCUCCCAGCAGCCCUGUUUUACAGAUGAAGAAACUGAGGCUCAAAGAGCUGGAGAAAGUUGUUGCCCAGGGUCCUGUGGAGAGAAAACUCAAGCUCCGGCUGUUCCACUACUCUGGGACACCACCCCCAGUGGGAACCCCACUUUUACAAGGAUUCGAAGGUAGGUGAGGACUUAUCUCCUGAAAUAAUUAGUAUACUUACUUUUUUGUUACAUAUUCCCACUAAAGGUUUGCAGCCCCACCCAGCUUGAAUAUCAGGAGAAUGGCAACAAAAUCUGGUUCAAGGCUCACAGAAUCCACGAAAGAUGCCAGCCCCUCCACGGUUGGAGAGUGAUUCACAAAUGUGUCUUUAAGGACUUUCCCAGGCCGGGCACAGUGGCUCACACCUGUAAUCCCAGCAAGCCGAGGCGGGAGGAUCACCUGAGGUCAGGAGUUUGAGACCAGCCUGGCCAACAUGAUGAAACUCCGUCUCUACUAAGAAUACAAAAAUUAGGCAGGCGUGGUGGCAUGCACCUGUAAUUCCAACCACUUGGGAGGCUGAGGCAGGAGAACUGCUUGAACCGGGGAGGCAGAGGUUGCAGUGAGCCAAAAUCACACCGCUGCACUCCAGCCUGGGCAACAGAGUGAGACUGUGUCUCAACAACAACAACAACAACAACAAACAGAAAAAAAAGAAAAAAAAAGGACUUCCCCAUCUCAGAGCAGAAGACAAACCCAGGUGACUCUGAGUCUGCACAGAAAAGGCAAGGGUGACCAAGAGUGAGGAGGUUAAGCACCUGUUGCUUUCAGCUCAGGUCCUGACCACAGCCCUUAAUAAGGACAAACCUCUCAGAUUGCUGCAGCCUUCAAUACGCAUGUUCCUAUAGUGCCUGGCCAAUAAGAAGUACUUACACAGUAGCUGUUAUUAUUGUAAAGGCGGCGCAAAGAGUUAAGGAAGGCCGGUAGCUAAGCUGAAUCUGAGUUGCAUCUUGUAGGCCAUGGUAUGUGAAAGAAGGGCAGGCCAGGAGGGGGAACAGAGUGAGUAAAGCCCAGAGGCAGGGGCAUGGAAAAGCAGGGAGGAGUUAAGCUUGGGGCAAAUAUCCUAAAUGAAGGGGAAUAAAAGGCAACAAAGUUUGCAAGUUGCACCGGGGCCACAUCUUGGAGUUGUUUGAGAACAUGUCCCAUGAGGCUGCAUUUAACACCAGCCACUCGCGCUUCCACCCCAACAGCAGGAGUAUCACAUCCACAUGCCAUGUGCGCAAUUCCUUACUUUAUAUCCUCCUCUAAGAUAAAUCUACCCUCCCUCUUUUUUAAGCAUAAGAGCAUUUAUUCUAAAAGGAAACUUUUGGCCAGGCAUGGUGGCUCACGCCUGUAAUCCCAGCACUUUGGGAGGCCUAGGCUGGUGGAUCAUGAGGUCAGGAGUUCGAGACCAGCCUGACCAACAUGGCAAAACCCCGUCUCUACUAAAAAUACAAAAAUUAGCCGGGUGUGGUGGCACGUGCCUGUAGUCCCACCUACUCGGGAGGCUGAGGCAGAAGAAUUGCUUGAACCCGGGAGGCAGAGGUUGCAGUGAGCUGAGAUCACACCACUGCAGUCCAGCCUGGGCAACAAAGCAAGACUCUGUCUCAAAAAAUAAAUAAAUAAAUAAAUAAAAGGAAACUUUUGCUCACUAAUGGAAAUGGAAGUGGCACCUGUCAUAGGCAGAGACAAAUUGUCAAAGUAAACAACUUUUAAGUCUCACUAGACACUCCUGCCCCAGCAGAAUCUGGUCAAAAGCUAGGUCAGCAAAUUUCAGAGGCAGUAUUAAGGACAAAGUAGCAACAAUCCAAACUUUCUUUUUAGGUACUCAGAAAGACUAACAGAACAUUGAGAAGGGGUGUUAGUCACAUCCCCAAACUGCAAGAGGCCAGAAGAUAGCGAGGGGUCUUUCAAACAAUCUAAAAUCUGAGACCCCAAUGUUGGAAAAGAGAAGGAAGGGAAUGGGUUAAAGUGCCAGUUGCUCCCUCCUCAGAUAGCAGGGCCCUGGACAUCCCUAAGAUGUCCCCUUCCUCUUUCAUCCUUCCCUGAUUCCAGCCUCCCCACCUUCCCCAGGCUGGCUUGCCUGAUUUUGUGAGCUCUUCAGCCGGCUUAAAGUGUAAUUCUGUAUUUCUGAUUCUAUCUGUGUUCCAGGAGGCAUUAUCUCUAUCUCUGUAAUAGCUUCUCAAGCAAAAACAUUUUACUGGGUAAAAGAGCAAGGAAUAGGCAUGACCUGAUGCUGAUUUAAAGCAAGAUUCCAGGCAAGCCCCAGAGCCCUCUCUAAGUAGCCUCUCUCCUUUCUGCUGUCUAACGAAACAGCUCCUAAUGGCCAUGGUAUCAUAUUGUAUCUCAUAUUUACACAGCACUCGGCACACAUUCACUUAUUCAGCGGACAUCCAUUGAGGGCCUAUUAUGUGCCAAGUCUUCUGGGUGCUGGCAAUCAACAGUGAACAAAGACCCGUGAGGUUCUUGCUCUACUUGGGAAAACAGGCAAUAAACUCUGAAACAAGUAAAUAAACACGAUCAUGAUGAGGCUACUGAAAAAGCAAUGUGGUAGCAGCGUGACGAUGAUGUGCCAUGGGAGACAGGUGGCAACAUCAAAAAAGGUAGACUGCCCCCGCCCUCCGAAGAGGUGGCAUGUGAGCAAGAAGGAGCCAGCCAAUGGAAAGCUCUGAAAGCAGAGUCUUUUAAAAACAAAACAAAAUCAAAAAACAAAAACAGGGCUCAAAGAAGAUGUCUGCACUUCUGCCAGACGGGGCAGAAAGAAGAUAAUGGUGCUCCAAUCAGGGAGACUGUGGAGGCAGUACAGGUGACAGGAGGCAGGGAAACGAGAAUUAGCCAGAAACACAGUAGGUUUGCCAUGUCAGUCAGACACUCGAGUGUGUUCUUGCUCUUCUCAACAAACCAUAAAGUAAGGACGAUCAGUGUUUCCCAUUUUACAGACAGGAAAACUGAAGCUCGGGAAGGCUACCCAGGUACAUAGGGGCAGUGGUGGGAUGUGAAUCUAUGGUUUAGGAUGCUGACGCCAGCACUAUCCCACCUGCCUCAUGGUAGAGCAGUGUCCAGACACAGAGGUGGCAAUGCAGCAGCUCAAGUGGCAGCUCCAGCACUGCAUGUGUUUUGUCCGUUCUACAUGGGUUUGGAAAAACUCACCUGAGCUAGCGAUCAACUCUUAAAUAUAACCCUUCACUCAAAAAUCUGGCUGUCUAUCUGAAAAUAUUUGAAGACCUGGUCAUAGUGGGACCAUGAUUUGAAUGACAACAAUGGGCUGGAGCAGUAUCUCUGCCCACCUUGAGAGAGGGAUGGGCACUCUGUUUUUCCACAGCCCCCACCUCUCCCGAUUGCUUGCCCCGGCCCCUUCACUCCUCUCCAUUGCAUUCAUGGCCUCCCUAUGCAUUCGGCUUUGAGGCCCCAGCUCUCUAGUGAUGAAAUAUGUGGGAAGAUCCACAAAGCCCAGCAAACGAGGAGUGACCAGAGGAAUUGAGUUACAGUUCCUCCCUAGAACACUUUCCUGCCUUUCUGAUGUAAUCACUUUGCGCAAACAGUAGGAAAUGUUCAGAAGAGCUGCUACAAGGCGGUGAUUAAGAGGUCAGGCCUGGUUCUUAAUUCUAGCUUCAGCAAGUCCUAUCUGUGGGACUUGGGCAAGUUCUAAAAACCUCAGUUUCUUUAUCUGUAAAGCGCAAAUAAUAAUAAUGCCUACUUUAUAAGUAGGAUUAGGGGAAACAGUAAUUUAGGAAACGUGCUCGGAAUGAUGCUAGUUUCGUGGUGAGUAUCCAAUAGAUGGAGCCGUAGUUGUCUUUCUCAUCUUAGAAAGCAGCUGAUUCUCCCAUGUCAUGACAGUGUUUGUGCAACUCCUCUGGAAUUCUCUCCUUUCUUCCUUAGGAGAGCAUUUUCUCAAUGUUCCUCUUUAUCUUUCUCCAAACACAAAGACAAAUCUAAGAGGAAAAAAAAAAUCUUCAAACUGGGUCGCAGAUACUCAGCUUCUUGUCAAUUCUCAUUAGGGUUUAAAAGCUCAGUCUCCUGCAUAUGCCCAAAGAUAAAGCAAUCCCUUCCAUUCCUAAUUCAAAGAACCAAAAAAAAAAAAAAAACAUGUGGUUGGACCUGGUUGAAUAUAUAAACUUUUGGGGAUGGCAAUAAACUAGGCAAAGUCCUGGUUAUUCAAUUUAUUAGCUCAGUUGUGCAACGUAGAAAUAAACAGAAAAUUACUUAUAAUUUUACAAUAAUAUUCAUUUAGAAACAUCACUUUUCUCCAUAUACGUGUUGCAUGAAACAGCUUUACUCCAUUCUUUGCCACACAUAAGGAGGCCGAGGAGGGAAGAUGGCAUGAGGCCAGGAAUUCAAGGCUGCAGUGAGAUAUGAUUGCACCACUACACUUCAGCCUGGGCGACAGGGUGACACCUCAUCUCUAAAAAAUAAAAUAAAAUAAUAAAAAAAUUUUGGAAAUUUUUAAAGCGUCUGCUCCACAGAGCCACAUUUUGCAUUGUGCAGUUUCGUUUUUCAGACCUUUCUCCUCUCUUCCAUCUGACUGCCCUGAGAUCCAGCACUUUUUGCUUCCACAUCUGAGGCUGUCGCUGGAAACAAGGUCUCCAUCCCAUUUGCAUGACAUGAGCACAGUCGGGAUUUGUAUUCAUUCUGUGGGUGUGUGUAUAUUCGUGCUCUCCACAAAAGAACCACUCAGCAUUGCUUUUUCAAGCCGAGCUUUAAAAGGCUUAUUUGCCAUGACAUCCAGCACUUGUAAUUUGAGGUCAUACCCCGAGGAAGAAUUGCUAAAUCUGUGUAAAAUGUUUCUGACUCCUUUUCUUACAGAUUCUGUCAGAUUAUCUCUUUAAGAAUUCUAAGCCCAUGUUGUUUGAGGUGGUUUUAGGCUAAUGUACAUUCCCCAAACAUUUCUUUGCUGUUCAAAAUAAAGCAAUUGAGAGGGUUCUUCGUAAAAACGAAGCACUUUGCAAGAGCUCAAGACAAAAGACAACUCCCUUUUUUCUAGGGGGUAAUUUUGAGGAUAGAAGAAAAACAGUGUUCUAUGUAAGCCUGUACAAUCACGAGAGCCAUUUGCUGAGGGCCAUGUGUGCGAGUGGUUCGUGUGCUCUCCACCUCCUCUUCUUCCUCCCAGGGGAUGAAAUGAGGCCCAACAAGUGCAAGACAUGGACCAUGUCAGCUCGUGACAGAACAGGGCUGGAACCCAAGUCUGCUAGGCUCAGCCCACUCCCUCCCUGUGCCGAGUUGACAUAUUCUACUUACAUUAAGCCAAGUGCUGGGCUCUGAUUAUACAAAAUCAGAUAAGCCAGGACCCUGUGUUCAAGGAGCUCCCAGGCCUGCUGGGGUGAGAGUGGAGCAGCAAGGAUGGAAGUGCACAGAUGCAAGGGUGGCCAGGCCUAUGGGGAUACAGGCAAGGGAGGCUGAGUGUU
rnacentral:lncRNA from 1 species